GGAAGGUGGCCGAUGUGGCAAGCAAGAAGUUACAGCUAGGAGUCGGCCGAUUAGAGCUACAAUGUUUCAGCCGAUUGGGAGCCAGAACGGCUUGGCCGAUGUGGGCCGAAAGUGGGCCAGGAUGAUGAUUAGCCGAAGAUGAAGAUUGCCCCGUGGGAAAAUAAUAACCAACUCCGAUGCGGGUUGCGUUCGUUUGUAAAUAUUUGUUAUCUUCAAAUU
rnacentral:lncRNA from 1 species